UACACAGUCAGUGACUGACUGCUCAUAUGAACACAGAGCACUCACACACAGAGCCUCUUACAGAGUGGACCUCGUCUUCUCCUGUGUUCUCUGUUAUUAGUGCUGAGGAAAUACACAAAUACCAAAAGCGUAUAUCUUCAACGAAAGCUUCGGGUUUGUUUCUUUGGUUUUCUUUCAUCAAGUGGUAAGCUCUUUGACGCAACGAAAGACCACCACCGACUGACGGGAUGGCGUUUUGCAAGGUUAUCACGGUCACCAGUUAUCUUCUAUUGGUAUCCUACGGGAUAGGGCUGGCUCAGAAGCAUACAAUACCUGAGUGCAAACGUUCACUUAAAGAACAGCAAGAAGCAGGAGAUGUUGAUUCAUCUGAUCUGGAACAUUAUCUCAAGCUGGCAACCUAUGGAAUGUAUAAAUCUGUAAUCAAGAACAGGGCCUUCUCCAAGGGCAAAGGGAACCCUGGGCACAAGGGUUACGUUGAAGCGGACCACAUCCCACCCCUGGACUCCCUGAAUAGGGCUAAGAAAGAGCCUGAUUUUCAGGAGCUGGAAAGGAUAAAUCCGGCCCUUUAUGAUAUGGUGAUGAGCCUGGAGAACGAUCCGCGGGGGAUGAAACUCUUCGCCAUCCAGGUCACCAAACACCACCACGGGGCCGCUCUGUCCACCGGCAUCAGUAGAGAGUCUCAGGCCGUCAGGGCUGUUCUCGCAAAUGCAUUUGCCACAGGACAAGUGGUGUCAGCGCUGAAGCUAACAUUUUUGGUCAGCCACCCAAUUUCUUCCAUGGAAUUAAGAGAAAAAGCAGGAAUUCAGAGGGAUCGCCCGGAAGUAAGAUUUGGAAGGGAUAGAGCAAUGAGAACCUACUUCAAUGGCUUUGUGGACAUGAUAAAUUUUUUCUCUGUUAGAAAAAUCAUCGAUAACGAAGAAGUGGUUGAGCUGUGUGAGCAUAUCACAAAUCAUUAUGACGUAGAUGGCGACUUUGACAGAGAUUCCCUUGAAUACGAUCUUCUCAUUGAAGCCAUUAUAGAAUCAAAAAAAUAGUGGUCUUUCUCGAAUUUAGCUUUGGAACUUAUCGGUUGUUGACCAGAAAAGAUUGUUAGUUGCCAUCAAAGUAUAAUGAUAAUUGCUUUUUAACAAACUGAAGAUGUGUGUGUGACAAUGACAAAGGUAGCCUACUUUAAUCUAAAAAUGUAAACAUUUUCACCAUGAAGUCUAAAAGGAAGCUUGUAUGGCCCUUUCCUUUAUUGUAUCUUUGUGCAAUCCUACAAGUUAAAUUAUGUGUUAAAUUUGCAAUGGCAUUUCACCGCUUUCAACUACUUGGCGAGUUAUAAGCUUUAGCUAUAUUUAUUUAGUAUAUGCUACACGUGAACCUCCUAAGAUGGCGCAAUUUGAUUGGUUUGCUACCUUUGGAUAUUGGGCAAUAUCCCAUGAUUGAGAUCUCAAACGUGAGAUGUUGUUUUCCUCGCAAAAUGUCCGUC
ensembl:lncRNA